rnacentral:rRNA from 1 species
GACGAACUGCCCAAACGUUGUUCGGAAUCACUGGGCUUAAAGGGCGCGUAGGCGGCAGAUCAAGUCAGGGGUGAAAUCCGGCAGCUCAACUGUCGAAGUGCCUUUGAUACUGAUUUGCUCGAGGGAGAUAGGGGUCUGUGGAACUUCUGGUGGAGCGGUGAAAUGCGUUGAUAUCAGAAGGAACGCCGGUGGCGAAAGCGACGGACUGGAUCUCUUCUGACGCUGAGGCGCGAAAGCUAGGGAGCAAACGGG